AACUGCAUUUUCUUUUACACUGAUAAGGCCAAAAAUGUUCUCUAUGACAUACCAGUGGUUCAUAAGCAUGAGCCUGACUGGCAGGGACAAAGUAAAGACGAAUAGGCUACAAAAUUUAGGAUACUAUCUUAAGAU